rnacentral:misc_RNA from 1 species
AGAAGUAAAAGUCGUAACAAGGUUUCCGUAGGUGAACCUGCGGAAGGAUCAUUAAAGAGAAUAUGCCCUUCGGGGUAGAUCUCCCACCCUUUGUUUAUAUUACCUUUGUUGCUUUGGCAGGCCCGUCUUCGGACCACCGGCUUCGGCUGGUCAGUGCUUGCCAGAGGGCCCAAAACCCUUAUUAUUAAUGUCGUCUGAGUACUAUAUAAUAGUUAAAACUUUCAACAACGGAUCUCUUGGUUCUG